UCAAGCUACAAAGAGCAUAUGGAGGAUGCCUUGGCACCAAGCGCCGAUGAAGGACGUGAUAAGCUGCGAAAAGCUACGGUGAGUUGCAAAUGAACUAUGACCCGUAGAUAUCCGAAUGUGGGAACACAACAGUGGUUAUGCACUGUUAUCAUUAUUUCGAAUCAAAUAGAGUAAUGAAGGGAACCCAGGGAACUGAAACAUCUAAGUACCUGGAGGAAAAGAAAGUAAAUCAACGAUUGCGAAAGUAGUGGCGAGCGAAAUUGCAACAGCCCAAACCUGUUUCGGAAACGAAACAGGGGUUAGGACCCCAAUAUGGGAGACACAGAUAGAUAGACGAGCAUUUCUGGAAAGUAAGACAAAACAGGGUAACAGUCCCGUAGUCGAAAUCUAUCUUGCCCCUAGGGAGUUCCAGAGUAGCACAGGACACGUGGAAUCCGGUGUGAAUGUGGGAGGACCAUCUCCUAAGGCUAAAUACGACUUGGUGACCGAUAGCGAAUAGUACCGUGAGGGAACGGUGAAAAGAACCCCGGGAGGGGAGUGAAAAAGAACCUGAAACCGUAUGUUUACAAUCGGAGAGAGCGAAAGCGAUCUCGUACUUUUUGUAGAACGGGCCGGCGAGUUACUUUGCGUAGCGAGGUUAAGUGGUUAAGCCACGGAGCCGAAGCGAAAGCGAGUUUGAAAGAGCGAAUUUUAGUUGCGUGAAGUAGACCCGAAACCAGAUGAUCUAGUCAUGAGCAGGUUGAAACCGUGGUAACACACGGCGGAGGACCGAACCCACGCCUGUUGAAAUAGUCGGGGAUGACUUGUGACUAGCGGAGAAAUUCCAAUCGAAUCUGGAUAUAGCUGGUUCUCCUCGAAAUAGCUUUAGGGCUAGCCUCUGCAUAUAGGUUACUGGGGGUAGAGCACUGAAUGGGCUAGGGGCCUUCACGGGUUACCAAACCUUAUCAAACUCCGAAUACCAGAUAACUGUUAGCAGGGAGUCAGACAGUGUGAGAUAAGUUUCAUUGUCAAAACGGGAACAGCCGAGACCUACAACUAAGGUCCCAAAGUAUAUGUUAAGUGGAAAAGGAUGUGUUGUCGCAUAAACAACCAGGAUGUUGGCUUAGAAGCAGCCAUUCAUUAAAAGAGUGCGUAAUAGCUCACUGGUCGAGUAACAAUGCGCCGAAAAUGUAACGGGGCUAAAACAUAACACCGAAGUUUAGGAAUGAAUGUUUACAUUCAUUGGUAGAGGAGCAAUGUCUAUUGGGCUGAAGUCAAAUCGGAAGGUUUGAUGGACUAUAGACAAGAGAGAAUGCCGGCAUGAGUAGCGAGAGCAUAGCGAGAAACUAUGCCGUCGAAAGUCUGAGGUUUCCUGGGGAAGGGUAAUCCGCCCAGGGUAAGUCAGGGACUAAGCUGAGGCCGAAAGGCGUAGGCGAUGACAAACUGGUAGAUAUUCCAGUACCACCAAAUUACGAUAAAGAACUGAUGCAGUGACACAGUAGGAUAGUGAAAACACGAUGAUGGAUAGUCGUGGCCAAAUCAUGAGGGGUCUAAUUUGUAAAGUACGGUUAGAGCGCACCCUAGGUGAUGAUGGGGAGUGAAAUUUAGUAACGAAGUUCAUGAAUUCACACUGGCGAGAAAAGCUGCUAAGGAGUAAUUGGGUGCCUGUACCGCAAACCGACACAGGUAGACGAUGAGAGAAUCAUAAGACGAACGGGAUAACCCUUGUUAAGGAACUCGGCAAAAUGACCCCGUAACUUCGGAAUAAGGGGUGCCAGUCGUAAGGCUGGCCGCAGAUAAUCGGCCCAAGCAACUGUUUAUCAAAAACACAGGUUUCUGCUAAAUCGCAAGAUGAAGUAUAGGAGCUGACGCCUGCCCGGUGCUGGAAGGUUAAGAGGAGAUGUUAGCGCAAGCAAAGCGUUGAAUUUAAGCCCCAGUGAACGGCGGCCGUAACUAUAACGGUCCUAAGGUAGCGAAAUUCCUUGUCAGGUAAGUUCUGACCCGCAUGAAUGGCGUAAUGAUUUGGGCACUGUCUCAACAGGGGACCCGGCGAAAUUGAAGUAUGCGUGAAGAUGCGUAUUACCCGCGACUAGACGGAAAGACCCCGUAGAGCUUUACUGUAAUUUGGCAUUGGAUUUCGGAAUUUAAUGUACAGGAUAAGUGGGAGGCUUUGAAGCAAGAACGUCAGUUUUUGUGGAGCCAACCUUGGGAUACCACUCUUUGAAUUUUGAGGUUCUAACACCAGGCUGUUAUCCAGCUGGUGGACAGUGUCUGAUGGACAGUUUGACUGGGGCGGUCGCCUCCUAAAGAGUAACGGAGGCGCCCAAAGGUUCCCUCAGAAUAGUUGGAAACUAUUCUCACAGAGUGUAAAGGCAGAAGGGAGCUUGACUGCGACACCUACAAGUGGAGCAGAUACGAAAGUAGGGCUUAAUGAUCCGGCGGUAGAGUAUGGAAUUGCCGUCGCUUAACGGAUAAAAGUUACCUCGGGGAUAACAGGCUUAUCUCUCCCAAGAGUUCACAUCGACGGGGAGGUUUGGCACCUCGAUGUCGGCUCGUCACAUCCUGGGGCUGUAGUAGGUCCCAAGGGUUCGGCUGUUCGCCGAUUAAAGUGGCACGCGAGCUGGGUUCAGAACGUCGUGAGACAGUUCGGUCCCUAUCUAUCGUGGGCGUAGGAUAUUUGAGAGGGGCUGCCCCUAGUACGAGAGGACCGGGGUGGACAUACCAAUGGUGCACCAGUUGUCGUGCCAACGGCAUAGCUGGGUAGCGAUGUAUGGAAAGGAUAAAUGCUGAAAGCAUCUAAGCGUGAAACCUGCCUCAAGAUAAGAUAUCCCAUAACACAAGUUAGUAAGACCCCUUGAAGACAACAAGGUUGAUAGGUCAGAGGUGGAAGUGCAGUAAUGUAUGUAGCUGACUGAUACUAAUAGGUCGAGGGCUUGAU
rnacentral:rRNA from 1 species